UACGAAGGGGGCUAGCGUUGCUCGGAAUCACUGGGCGUAAAGCGUGCGCAGGCGGCUUCUCAAGUCAGGGGUGAAAGCCCAGAGCUCAACUCUGGAAUUGCCUUUGAGACUGAGUGGCUUGAGUACGAGAGAGGUGAGUGGAAUUCCCAGUGUAGAGGUGAAAUUCGUAGAUAUUGGGAAGAACACCGGUGGCGAAGGCGGCUCACUGGCUCGUAACUGACGCUCAUGCACGACAGCGUGGGGGAUCAAAACAGG
rnacentral:rRNA from 1 species